rnacentral:rRNA from 1 species
UACGUAGGCAGCGAGCGUUGUUCGGAGUUACUGGGCGUAAAGAGUGCGUAGGCGGUUUUCUAAGUGUGGUGUGAAAUCUCCCGGCUUAACUGGGAGGGUGCGCCGAAGACUGGAAGGCUUGAGUAUGGGAGAGGUAAGCGGAAUUCCUGGUGUAGCGGUGAAAUGCGUAGAUAUCUGGAGGAACACCGGUGGCGAAGGCGGCAUCCUGGACCGACACUGACGCUGAGGAGCGAAAGCCAGGGGAGCAAACAGG